CCUACGGGGGGCAGCAGUGGGGAAUAUUGCACAAUGGGGGAAACCCUGAUGCAGCGACGCCGCGUGAGUGAAGAAGUAAUUCGUUACGUAAAGCUCUAUCAGCAGGGAAGAAAAUGACGGUACCUGAGUAAGAAGCCCCGGCUAACCACGUGCCAGCAGCCGCGGGAAUACGUAGGGGGCAAGCGUUAUCCGGAUUUACUGGGUGUAAAGGGAGCGUAGACGGUGCUGCAAGUCCGGGGUGAAAUGCCUAAGGCUAAAUCCGGCACUGCUUUGGAAACUGGCGAACUAGAGUGCGGGAGAGGUAAGCGGAAUUCCGAGUGUAGCGGUGAAAUGCGUAGAUAUUAGGAGGAACACCGGUGGCGAAGGCGGCUUACUGGACCGUAACUGACGUUGAGGCUCGAAAGCGUGGGGAGCAAACAGGAUUAGAUACCCCGGUAGUC
rnacentral:rRNA from 1 species